rnacentral:rRNA from 1 species
UCAGGAUGAACGCUGGCGGCGUGCCUAACACAUGCAAGUCGAACGGGACUUAUUGAGACGAUUUCGGUCUGAUCAUUAAGUUUAGUGGCGGACGGGUGAGUAACGCGUGGACAACCUGCCUUCACAGGGGGAUAGCAGCUGGAAACGGCUGGUAAUACCGCAUACGCGAGAGAUGCCGCAUGACAUCACUCGGAAAGAUUUAUCGGUGAAAGAUGGAUCCGCGUCUGAUUAGCCAGUUGGCGGGGUAACGGCCCACCAAAGCGACGAUCAGUAGCCGGCCUGAGAGGGCGGACGGCCACAUUGGGACUGAGACACGGCCCAGACUCCUACGGGAGGCAGCAGUGGGGGAUAUUGCACAAUGGGCGCAAGCCUGAUGCAGCAACGCCCGCGUGAGUGAAGAAGUAUUUCGGUAUGUAAAGCUCUAUCAGCAGGGAAGAAAGGCUCGAAAGAGAGAUGACGGUACCUGACUAAGAAGCCCCGGCUAACUACGUGCCAGCCGCCGC